rnacentral:lncRNA from 1 species
GCAUGAUUGGGCAGUUUGGUGUCGGUUUCUACUCUGCUUACCUUGUUGCUGACAAGGUUAUCGUCACCACCAAGCACAAUGACGACGAGCAGUACGUGUGGGAGUCUCAGGCUGGUGGGUCUUUCACUGUAACCAGAGACACCUCUGGAGAGAGUCUUGGUAGGGGUACUAAGAUGGUCCUUCACCUCAAGGAGGACCAGUUGGAGUACCUCGAGGAGAGGAGGCUUAAGGAUUUGGUCAAGAAGCACUCUGAGUUCAUCAGCUACCCAAUCUCCCUGUGGAUUGAGAAGACCAUUGAGAAGGAGAUUAGUGAUGACGAGGACGAGGAAGAGAAGGACGAGGAAGGAAAGGUUGAGGAGGUCGAUGAGGAGAAAGAAAAGGAGGAGAAGAAAAAGAAGAAGAUUAAGGAGGUUUCUCACGAGUGGGACUUGGUGAACAAGCAGAAGCCUAUCUGGAUGAGGAAGCCCGAGGAGAUCAACAAGGAGGAGUACGCUGCCUUCUACAAGAGUCUCAGCAACGAUUGGGAAGAGCACUUGGCCGUGAAGCACUUCUCUGUUGAAGGACAGCUCGAGUUCAAGGCUGUUCUCUUUGUUCCCAAGAGAGCUCCUUUUGAUCUUUUUGACACCAAGAAGAAGCCCAACAACAUCAAGCUCUACGUCCGUCGUGUCUUCAUCAUGGACAACUGCGAGGACAUCAUUCCCGAGUACCUUGGCUUUGUGAAGGGUAUUGUCGACUCCGAAGAUCUCCCCCUCAACAUCUCGAGAGAGACGUUGCAGCAGAACAAGAUCCUUAAGGUCAUCCGCAAGAACCUCGUGAAGAAGUGCAUGGAGCUCUUCUUUGAGAUUGCUGAGAACAAGGAGGACUACAACAAGUUCUACGAAGCUUUCUCUAAGAAUUUGAAGCUCGGUAUCCACGAGGACUCCCAGAACAGAACCAAGAUCGCUGAGUUGCUCCGUUACCACUCGACCAAGAGCGGUGAUGAGUUGACCAGCCUCAAGGAUUACGUGACAAGGAUGAAGGAAGGUCAGGAGGAUAUCUUCUACAUCACCGGUGAGAGCAAGAAGGCUGUGGAGAAUUCUCCAUUCCUUGAGAGGCUCAAGAAGAAAGGGUAUGAAGUCCUUUACAUGGUGGAUGCCAUCGAUGAAUAUGCCAUUGGCCAGCUCAAGGAAUUCGAGGGAAAGAAGCUCGUCUCUGCAACCAAGGAAGGUCUGAAACUGGAAGAGUCAGAAGACGAGAAGAAGAAAAAGGAAGAGCUAAAGGAGAAGUUUGAAGGACUCUGCAAAGUGAUUAAGGACGUCCUUGGAGACAAAGUCGAGAAGGUCAUUGUCUCUGACCGUGUUGUGGACUCACCAUGCUGUCUGGUAACAGGGGAAUACGGCUGGACUGCAAACAUGGAGAGGAUCAUGAAAGCGCAGGCCUUGAGAGACAGCAGCAUGGGAGGUUACAUGUCUUCCAAGAAGACGAUGGAGAUCAACCCAGAGAAUGCGAUCAUGGACGAGCUAAGGAAGAGAGCCGAAGCUGACAAGAAUGACAAGUCUGUGAAGGAUCUUGUUCUUCUCCUCUUUGAGACUGCUCUUCUCACUUCAGGUUUCAGCUUAGACGAGCCCAACACCUUCGGAAGCAGAAUCCACAGGAUGUUGAAGCUGGGAUUGAGCAUUGAUGAUGAUGAUGCCGUUGAAGCCGAUGCUGAGAUGCCACCGCUUGAGGAUGAUGCCGAUGCUGAAGGCAGCAAGAUGGAGGAGGUCGACUAAAAGCCUGCCCUGUUGCUGCAGUGAACGAUUUUUCUCUACUUAUCUGCUCUUUCUAUGGCUAAAACUAUUAUUUUGGUGUUUUUUCUUCUUUUCUCAAGUACUAUUAGUGGUGUAGUUUUUUUCUCUGAACUAUAACUAUUGCUGUUAAGGGACUUCGUUUCUUCCAAAUCCAGAAAUUGUUAUUGCACGGUUGAUGAGUAUCCUACUGAUAUAUUUUGUAUCUUGAACUUUGCUUAAGACAACAUAGUUAAAGUAUGUUUAAGUACCUGGACUGAAGAGUGGAAAAAAUGUAGUUGCUUGUGUUCUGUCGUUUGGAGUAUUACUCUUUUCUUAAGAGAACAUUAGUCUUCUAUGAUUUGACAGACAAGUUUGAAGACUCAUUAAAAAAACUUACAGAUCUCUUUUUGUCGCAACAGUUUCAAGAUUCUUUGCAUCGCUGCUCUCUACAUAGUAGAUUCACUGGCCAUUGUUAUAGUUCUGAGUGAGGUUUUUUGGGGGAAAACACACAGGUUGAAGCAAACCACUUGGGUAAAAGAUCUAUCAAUUUCAAAAGUUUAUAUAUCAUAUGGACCAGUUGUAUCUACAAAUAGGCCUGGUCAAGAUGUAAAUCGAAAAGAAUUUUGCCUCGCAACAAAGCUCAGCAAGAGAAAAAUAAAUGAGUUCAGAGAAACAAAUUAACUUUCACAAGAAAGCUCAACGAGACAAAUGAACAAAUAAAUGAGUUCAGAGAAAGUCUUUGUAGAUUGCUCUUUUUAUCGCUCUUUUUAUCUUCAGGUAUCUUCAACCUGAGAAUGGAACACAAAGCUUGGAAACGUAGUCGUGAUAUCCCUGCAAGCACAGACACAACAUGGUCACCACCUUUAUUGAGAAGAAACCAGAGAAGCAAUUCUGUUGUAUAGAUUUCAAUAAGUCCCGGUUACAAAAACAUAAACUCACUUGAGAUAUUGAAGAGUCAUGUUCUUGAGAAGGCUAGGAUGUCUAAGAACAAGGCUUCUCCACUCUUCCUUAUCAAUCUUUCCAUCGUGUUUCGUGUCUGCUUCUUCAAACGUCUAAAACAAAUCAAAACUCAGGGAAAGUUACUCUCAACUAAAGCUAUUGUGCGAAGAUGAGAAAAGCAACUUACCUUGUCAAUUAUAUCCUCAAUGACAGUAUCCUUCAGGUUCAUUCCAGAUUCAGCAAGCGUAGCCACAACCAUUUGUUUCACCUGGACAAAAACAGCGGUGAGGAUGAUGAUAAAGUGCAGUUUAAUAUGAAACCUAUUUGAAUAUACCUCUUGCCGUUCUAUGAAACCUUGCUGUUUAAGAUCAUAUAGCUGAAAUGAAACUGCAACAACAACAUAUAUAUAUAAACCAUGAAUCGGAAACAAUAUUAGGACAUUAUUUUUUCUAAGCUAUAAGGGACUUACAUUGGAUUUUGUCAUCUAUAGGUGCAUUGGGAUGGAAUACAGAGAGAGCUCGAGCAAACUCCUCAAACCCAAGUAUUCCAUUGUGCUUUGUGUCAAACAAAUCAAAAACCUACAAACCAAAUGACAUAUGCUUCUUAAGACUUGAUCUUUUGGGGGGGAAAAAAACACUUGUAGUAAAGAAAGAAAUAUUACUCGAUCAGCAAACAAGCUCUCUUUCUUAUUUGUCUUAAACAAUGCCAACUGAAACUCCUCCUGAACCAAAGUUUUAACAAGAGAUGAGUAAACUAGACUGAGAUGGUGUCAACAAAUAAUGAAUUGACCAAAAAGAUUACACAAGCUCUUACCUUGUUUAUAAGCCCAUCAUCAAUCACAGCACUGCUGAUUUUUUUAAACAGCUCAUAAAGAGCUUCUAUCUCACUGACACUAACUGCACCACAAACCAAGUUCCAUUUAUUUUUUUAUUUUUUUCAAACCAAGUUCCAUACAAUCAUAUAAACCGAACUAAAUUAAAAAAAAAGGAAUAGAGAAGCUGAUAGGCAAUACAAACUGUGUCUCUCGAAAGCAAUUCAGGGUCACCAAGUCCGCCACCAGAUUGUUUAUACAAAUCGAGAUCAAAACACCCUAAAACAGAGGUGCAUAAAUGCUUAACACCGUCUAUGCACUGCGUCAUGAUUGAUAACUUAUGCAAAUCAUAACUCUCCAUGCCUGCAAAAUAAAACAAAACAGGGAGAAGAAGUAAAGCCUAAGUGAAAACUCUACAGAAACAAAACAUAUGAACAAAUAUAAAAACCCACCUUAUAAGUUUUAACCUUUGGUCUGAGAAAAGGCAGAGCGCUCUGCGAUGAUCUGUAAUUGUAAAAGCAGAUGAGAUGUAAAUUGUAAUCACUUAAUAAAUCUUUUGGUCUGACAGAGUAGACAUAAGAUUGAAUGUAACACACACAACUUGAAAAAAAGUUAAAGAUAGGAUCAGACAAAGAUUCAUAAUAACAAAAUAAAGGCAACAAAACAUUGCUUACACACUAUAAACUGAAGUCAUUGUCAUUAUUACCAGAUGUUACUUAUGUCCACAUAAACACAAACGAAGGCUUGAAUGAUAUCAUUGGCAAAUUAUUUAAAAAGAUAAACGAGAAUAACGAUGCAAAAGCCUAAAAAUGUUUAAUUCACAUAACAAACCAAAUUUAUAUAUCUAAUUUUCUUAAACAUUAGAAUAAUGGAACAUUGCUCUCUAAAUCACUCCGAUUCAACAUUACAGUAAAACGGAUUCGUGAUGGAAUCACACGUUAUGCAACUCUUAUACUAUUCAGUAGUUGUGAACUGAAUUGGUUUUACAGAUUAACAGAAAUCAACCGAAUAAAAAGUUACCGUUUUUCGAUGCUUCUGAUUGUAUUCCUCAAUCUCAAGGCGGCUCUUUGGCGGUUGGAAGGUGGUGGAGAUUGGUAGUAAGGUGAGAGCCGAUUCUGGUGUAAGCAGAAUGGUUUAGAAGAACAAAUAUAUUUUACAAAACCUGAGAAAAUCUUUUAAACUAUUUAUGUAAAUAAAAUAAAGAAAUAAUCUUUUUAGCAUUAACUAACUUUGGUCUACAACUUUUUAAAUCAAUUAAUCUUAUAUAUUAAAACAGAAGUCACAACCUUAAUUCAUGUGUGAUUUUUUUAAAAAUGGACCUAAUGGACCUAUUCAUAGAAAUUCAUACUAUAUUUUAAUUCAGACUAAUAAUAAAUAUAAUUUUUAAAAUAUUUUAAUCAUAGUAUCUUUUGAUAUUUUUCAUUUUAAAUAUAAAUAUAUUUAUUUUAAAAUUCUAACAAAUCUGUUUAAAAAGAUUUUUACAAGAUCUUCAUUUUUGAAAUUAUAUUUAAAUAUUUUCACUAAUUUCGAAAUUAGUUUAAAAUAUUAUUAUACAUUAAUAUAUUCAGUUAUAUAAAAUGAAAAAUAAAAAAAAUCUAUAAUAUUUUAGUUAUUAUAUAAUCAUAAUCAAUCAUAUUAAAUUAAAAUUAUUAUCUUGAGCUAAAUAUAAUAAAAUUGUAUUAAACUUAUAUAUUUAUAUAUUUUAUUUUCGUAAUUAUAAAAUAUUUAUGUUCAAAAAUAAAAUCUAAUAUGUUGGUAAGAUGGGUUAACAUUAUCAAAUUAUAUAAUACAUGUAUAAAAAUUAACAUGUAUUUAUUUAAAGUUAAUAAUAUAAAAUCUUUGUAACUACAUUAAUUAUAAUAUAUUUUCAUUUUAAAUAUAAUAUAUAUUUAUAUAUUAUAUUUUAAAAAUUCUAAUAAAUCUGUGUAAUAUUUUUUUUUGUCACGAAUAAAUCUGUGUAAUAUUUAAACAAUAACUUAAUGUAUUUUAAGUUAUUGUUUAGAAAUGAAAAUAAAUAAAUUAUAUCCUAUUUUAUCUACUUUUAUAGUCAUGAUCAUGUUAAAAUAUAAUUAUUAUACUAAAAUAAAUAUGAUAAAAUUAUAUUCAAUUGAUAAAUUUAUAAAUUUUAUUUUCAUAAAUAUAAACUAUUUAUUUAAAAUAUAAUAUGAUGAUAGAACGACUUAAAAUUAACAAACUAUAUAAUACAUGUCUAAAAAUUAACAUAUCUUACACUUUUAUAUAUACAAUAAUAAAUUAUCUAAAAUAAAUAAGCAUAAAAAUAUUGGUAAAAAGAAAUCCAGUUUUGAAAUACGGGUCAGAAUUUAGCAUAAAUUAAAUACAAAAUAUUUUUUAAAUAUAUUUUCUCAUGAAUCCCCUAUAUUAUUUUGCUUAAUAAUUAAAUGCAAAUACAAUAAAACAAAUAUAUAAUAGGAAGUGGUAAAUACAUAAGGUUUAAAUAAUUAAUUAAUUAUAACAUGUAAAUUAUAAAAUUAUUGUAUUUGAAAUAGUUAUAUAAAUAUUUAACUAUAUAAUUAUCAUUAAAAAUAUAUACUACUUAUGUUCUAAAACAAUAAUUUAUGUAUAGAAAAAUGAAAACAAACACCUGUGCGGUUGCACGGGUCAAAAUCUAGUUAUGUUGUUGAUACAGCUGUUAAGCCACGAAUGAGUGAAGCUCCAACAACUACUUGUCACACGUCGCAUUUUGUGGAGCCUGUGUUAAAUAAUGCGCUGUAUUUAAUUAUACGACCACGUUUUACUCGGGACUUAAUUUGCACUUUAUUACGGAACCGUUUAAUGUUUGGUUUGGUUUUGUUUUAUUUCCGGUUUACGUUAUAGACGAUCUGAAUUGAACCUGAACCACCGGUCUCAUCAGUUGUCUUUUAACGUUUUCAUUUCACAAUACAUCAAAAUCGCAGCAAUAAUCAACAUUUAAUGUAUAUACGGGUGUGUUAAAAAAAAAAAGUAUAUACGGGUUGUAAGGAUAUAUAUAUGGAGAACCUUUUUAAAAUAUUCAACUCGAUUCAGAAAAUGAAUAUUUCGUGUGUUUUGAGGCAUUUUGAUGAUUGUGUAAAUGGAAUUUAAUUGAUUAAGCGUAUGAUUGUACAAUAAAUCAAUUUUAGAAUGUAAAAUCUCUGACGAACUACAUAAAGUUCGUCUUCGAUCGGUUUAGGCCGAAUUCAAACUGUUUGGUAUACAUUUUCAACACAAAACCGACACUUAUUAUACCGAAUAGGGGCGAAUACAUACGAUUAAAAGCGGUUUACUAAGCCUUGAUAGAGUCACUAAACCAGCUCGACUUGGACGACAAAAGCACAGCGAGGUUCGACCCUAUAGACCCGGUACGUGUCAGGGAAUCAACACGAUGGUGCCUGCACCUGAAAGAGCCGGCGUGUGUCGUCGGAGUCCCAACGGCGUAAACUCGGUGAGUUUUGGUCUAGGUUCUGCUUCUUGAUCUGUUCGACGGGAGAGCCUCCGGAAGGUUGGGAUUUGAUCUUGCCUAAAUUUAUGGAAUACUUCUCCUCCGCCAUAUAUUUUCUGACAACUAGAGCUUAAGGGUUUUCUCUCGCCGUGGUUUUGAUGAAAAAUAAGAACGAUUCGUACUGUUUUUGUUGUUUCAUAGACAUGUCUGUGGGUAUUAUAUGGGGACUUAAGAGACAAGGCAACUAAAUUAGUCGUUGUAAGGUUGUUGACAAACUGCAUUUUUAAGAUUCGGGUGGUUUAGUAUUCUAGAAAAGAAUAAAUAAGAAUUAGAGGGAAAUAUUUGACUUAGUGGUUAUAUUCUUCUUUUUCUAGUUACACAUUUACACAUUUGUGAUCGUCAAAUAGUUAGAGAAAUACAUGGAUAAAACCAAAAUAUAAUUACUGAAAAUAUAUUGGAAACAAAUUGUGUCUAAGCGCCAAACAAAACCCUAAAACUAUUUAAUUAAUUUGGCGAUGUUGUAAGUUGUAACUAAACAAAAAAACAUCCAAAAAUGUUAGUCUCCUAUUUGUAGUAUGGGGAUGACCUUGAAUUCAAAUCUAAAUUAAAGCACCUUAUUGUUGAAGUCAAAGUCAUUAAGAUGCCUUGUGAACCGAAGUUUAUGUCCAACAUGAAAAUCAGGUAUUCUAACUGUCGUACACCAGUUGAACGUAUAUAUAUACCAUGAAUUUGGUAACUACAAAAUUAGUUUGGAAGCUUAUGUAGUUACCUCGUUUAGGUUAAAUCACUGAGGGGUUAAAUAUGCUUUUAUUAGCAAAUAGAACUGAAAAUACAAGGCAUGAUGAGAAAUAACCAUAUGAAGUGUAAACACUAUUACUAUUACUUAUCAAAAAAAAAGAGUGUAAACACUAUAUCAAGAUUUUUAUAAAUGUUGUGGCAUUGUGAUUUGUAUCUCCUCACAAUGUACUUUACGGUUACUGGUGAGCUCUUUCUGUACAAAACUUUUGACACUCACUCACACAAGUAACCUACUUGCUUCAAACCAAAAAUAAAAAUAAAAACCUUUGAGAGAAGAAACCAAACAAACCAAAAACUAUAGAACUAAAAUCAGAGUCUCUUAUGAGCUCUUGUCUGCUUUAGGGUUUUGUGCUUUUUCAUCCGGAAAGAUCUUGUUUGCAGAGAGGACAACAAGAGAUGAUACGAAGCCACUGAUCUACACACUUAAGGUGAAACUUAUGUGAACAUGGAAGCUUCCUUACUUCUUCCUUGUCUUUAUACUUUGCCAAACAUAUACAACACUCCUGCAUAUCAAGAAUAAAGAAAAUCAAAACCUACUUUUUUCUAUCAUAUAUCUAUCUAAGAUUAAUAAUAUACAACAUUUGAUGUCAGAAUACUUAGUGGAUCAGACAGAGUAAUUACAAAUGAAACCAGUUCCGGUAUAGCAUCAUUGAAUAUCUGAUUGAUUAACCAUAUAUUCAAUUUUUGCUAAAACUCUGUCUUAAGAAAAACCCUUAUGGGUCUGCUUUGAUAUGUGAGUCAAAUGAUUAUAACUUACAGGAUCAUCAGUUUUAGGAGCUGAAUCAGAAGCAUUGUCGUCGGCUCGUUUGUGUUUCCAGCUAGGGAGACUAGAGAUUUGGUCAUCAGAUGCACCUCUGUCUGAAGAUCCCAUGUUCAUGUUGUAUCCAAGGAGACUACUAAUGAGAGGCACAAGGCAACAGAGGAAUAGGAAGAGAAGAAAGGGAAAAGAGUAGCAGAGAGCGUUCCAAGAAAGAAGAGAGACGCAGAGAACGUGAAGCUUUGGAGCAUGGUUGAAAGAACCGAAUCUAGAAUCAAACACCCAAACAUUCCCAACCACAAACCAAAUCGCAAAGAACAGCUCUAGAGACGUUCUGCACUUGUUCAUCAAAUGAGAGCUCCUGAAAUUUAAAACAUAUACGAUAUUAAUACAACUUCAGGAUCUUGCAAAGGUUAUAGUAUUCAAAAUCAAGAAAAUAUAAGUUACCUAGUUUCAUCUCUGCCUCUGUGUUGCUGCUCAAUAUCGACAAACCAGUUUCCUUGGUUUAGUUGGCGAAACCGACCAUAUAAUAGCAUAAGACUGAGGAGACAUCCCACAUCAUAACCUGUGAUCCAUAACCUCACUGGCCAAACAGGUCUCUCUUCUUUUGAGAUAGCUAGUGUGAGUGUAAUCACUGUAAGCUGAACAAGCAGGGCUAUAAGCUCAGACAUCAUCCACGUGCUGGAGUUAAAAGGGUUGGAGCCGAGAUCUGAUCUUGAUCCGUUUUGAUAGUGAAACACUCUUCUCAAGAAGAUAAACCAUCUAGCUCUAGAUACCCUCAUAGCAAACCUUAAGUAGAAGGACCUCUCUUGAACAGAGGCAGGCGCAUGAGUGUUGUCACUUCGUGGUGGUGUGGUACUCAAUGAAGAAGAUGAUGAAAUAGUUAUGGAGACAAUAUUGGAAGAUGAUUCAUCCAUUGGAAGUUUUCCAAAGCGUUCAAUAUAUAUUUAAACCUUCAAAGAAAAAAAGAUUGAACAUUAAAAAAAAAAAAAAAAAACUUCUGAAAGUUUAUAAGUUGUGAACACACACAUGAAACUUGGAAGUAUAUAAACGAAAAGAUCAUGGAAAAAAAACACAAGAAAAAACACAGAAACUAAAGAAAAGGAAUCAUGAAAUUUACAUGACCUAACAAUAAUAAAAACACAUGAAAAAUCUAUAUACCUUAUUUGCAACCACCAAAAAGGCAAAACUCAGCUCCGUACACGAACUCCACGACUUCCCGAAAAGGAGGAAUCUAUUUCACAAAAGGAAAGUACCUCUAGUAGCCUAAGCUUUGAGUAUAGAGAUAAGCUUUUGUCUGAAAUGAAAUAGGUUUUAUAGGGAUAACUUGUUUCUAAUAUAGGAGAAAAGAUUGAGAAGACAGGAACAAGAGAAAAAGAUGAUUACAAAGAAAGAUUAGGAAGGUGUUGUGUUUAUGUCAGGGAAGGUGAAGUUGGGCGAGAGAUGGCGACCAAGAAUCACACCAUAACAAAAGGAUUGUUUAUAUAUUUUAUAAGAGACAAACUCUUUGAAGUUUGUGUUUUGUUUUGUUUGCUUACGUUUGAAGAGAAACAAAGAAAGGGAGAGGAAGAGAACCGUUGGCCUAAUCUAACACCUGAGGUUUUGUUUAUGAAGAAAUGUUUAGAUCGCAACUGCUUAUUCCAACCGCCAAUGCAGACCUUCUCUCUCUACUCUGUUUCUCUCUCUCUAGGAUUGAGAGGAAAGGGAAAGAUAUUUUAUUUGAUUUCUUUUUGUUUUGUUUUUAUUUGUAGAAUUUUCGUUUUGGAAAAGAAAUGGAUAAGAAUUAAGAAUAUCUAGAUGAAGUCAUCAAUUCAAAAUUCACCGUAUGACAAAUCUUUUUGUUAUAACAGAACAAUCUUUCUCGCUUUUUAUUAUGUUGAUCAUUUCCCAACUAUAGUGAUAUUAAAUUUUAAUAAAAAAAUAUACUAUAUAUAAAAUUACAAAUUUUUCCUCUACGUCCAUAACUUAACCUUGUAGCAGUAUGGUUCUUAUUCGAUUCAGUGAUUUUACAUAUGUAAUUAUAUUAAAUCAUAUAUAUACACUUUUAUUUGGAUUAAAUAAAUAAAUGAUGCUUAAGAUUACUAAUUUUGACAACAAGAUUGUAUAACUUGGCGGGAGGAAAUGGGAAGGAGUGGGGGAUGGUUGGCUAACUAAUCUCAACCAGAAGAGUCUAUCAAUUAUCAUUUACGUUGUGGAGUGGAGCCCAAUUCCUCACUUUCUUUCAGUUUCCACGUUGUCUUUUGUCCCAUUAUUAUUUUUAUUUUUUGAAAAAGGCUUUUGCCCCAUUAUUGAGUUUUAUUUGUCAGAUGAUAGUUGUGAAAAAGUAUAUGAUUAAAAAUGAAUAAAAGCGAAUACAUUGUGAACGAAUUAAUAUUCUAGAACUUUCGCAAAUUUUUAAAGUCAAUUAUGUGAAUACUAUAUACGUAUAUGUUGAAACCUAGAGUAUUCAAAACAGAAUUUAGUUCUGCAUCUGUGAAAAUUAUAAAAGCGCUUUAGAACUAGUAUUCUGGUUCCGUUGGUCAAUCAUUCAAAUAUGUUGACUUUCUUACAUUGUAUUUUGACACCAAUUCACAUUUACAAAUUACAAGUUGAAGUUUCCGAGAUUGGAAAUAGAGUAAAAGCUAAAUGACUAUGCAUGGUAUAUCUCUAAAAAUAGUAAGUACUAACAGUUGACACUGACAGCACAAGAUCCAAAAUGAAUUUUUUUUUAUCUAAACGACAAGCAAUUUUAACUGUUAUCUAUAGUAACCUUCAAGGAACUACGAUUCUACAUCCGUCUUAUCGACUCAUUGCACUUUGUAAUUUAAAACUAAAUAAAUCUAAACUCUUUGAUUUACACAUCGAAUGAGGAUAAUUUAAUUUAAUCAUCAUUUCAUAAGGUUUAAUCGAAUUUGAAAGCUUGAACAUAAAUCAUGUUUCUCUCCGUGCAUCGUCGACCAUAUGUAUAUAUGUCGGUCUCGUCGACAAUUCGUCGACCAAUGGAGACAUGCAACAUCAUGAUUACUUUAGCAUGCGAAUAUUUCAUGAAUAUUGACUAAUUAUUAUAUUAUUUUUAUAAGAAAAAAAGAAACUCCAAGGCAACAUCACUCAAAGCAUAACACGUGGCUUCACACGAACACACAGACAGGUGGAUAAAAUUAAUAUCGUUAGCUAAGUUGAAAGUUUUUUUUUUUUUUUUUUUUUUUGUUAAGUUGUUGAAAGCUCAUUUAUCCAGUUAUGAGUUAUCAGAUAGCCACAGGACUUCUCGGUUGUUUUUGGUGGUUAUUGUAAUCCCAACAUCACUUUCGUCUUUUGUUAAAGUUAAUAUAAACUCUGUUUUUGUAAUCCAAACACGUAUUCUUUCUUUUUUCUUUUUAUACUUCAUCAUCGCUUCACAUUCUGGAUUUCCACAGCACGAGAAAUCAGGGCCGGUCCUUGACUAAAGCGGACAAAGCUAUAGGUUUAGGCGGCAAAAUUAUGUUACAUAUUUCAGGGGCAGCAAUUUUGUUAGAAAUGAUAGUGGUGUAGUAGUUGUUGCUAUAACUUGGAUUAUGGCUUCGAUUCUUUACUCUUACAUUUUUAUAGGCUAUAUAUUUUAUUGAUAGAUCUAAAGUUUUUGAGCUUUAGAUGCCACAUAGUGAUGGACCGGACCUCUGAGAAAUCCUUGUCAAAAUCAGCUAGAUCAUCCCACAUUACUUUCAGUCUGCCAAAGUAAACUUCAACUGCAUUGCCAUUCUGUUUGCAUGAUGCAAUCCAGCAUGAAGUUGAUGAACUUUUUGUAUCAUCGCUUAUAGAAAAGCCUCAGUUGAAGGCUUCCCCACAUAAUCUUUGCGCUGUCAACCAGUGAUAUUGACGGUCGCAAUUUUGGUUCUACACUCCUGUAGAUCCAACCAAUGAUCAUAGCAUUCACAAUAUCCCACUUUUUUCAUCUUCUGGUUUGUUGACUGGUUGUUUCAGAGUGCCAUCAACGAAACCUAUCUUUUGUUUGGUUCUUAACUAGUUGAACAUCAAUUUUGCCCAUUUUUCAUAAUUUGCUCCAUUCAAAAGAAUGAGUGUCUAAACUUGUCAUGUAUUAUCUAAAGGAUGGAGAUAAUAUGGAGAGACAAGUGGAUCGUUUCUCCACCAGUAGCUCAUGUCGGUGACGCCAUGCUAAUCGAGGUAGAUCAAAAAAAAUCUCAUCGUAACAGUAUAUUUUGGUGGUUCGUAAAUUUAUUAGCUUUGUAGAAAAUUUAGUUGUUUGGCUGUGAUACCAUAACAAACUAAUAUAAACUUUGUUUUUGUUAUUCAUCUCAAGGUCAAUACAUCGAUAUUUAUACACAUGAUAUGAGCCGUAACAAUAGGAGAUAACUACUACAACCAAUAAUGUUGUGUUUAUUUAAAUAUAUGUUUAUCCUUAACUAAUAUUUCGCACAUAUCACCGUCUGUUGAUAUAGGGUUUGACUAAGUUUUGAGUUAAGGUUAGUGCAUAUAUAACACCACAAACUUAAGACCUUAUCACACCAAAAUUACUAGUGCCUCGUAAAAACAAGGAUCUGAAGAAUAAAUCUGAUCCAAAAAGUUAUACCAAACUUGAACUGAAACUGAUAAAAUAUAUGAUGAAUAGAUUCAAAAUUUUAAUAUAUGGAAAAACCGGAGCAGAACCAAACUGAAAUAUUCCAGACACAUAAAAAUAAAUGAUCAUUAAUUAUAUGCUUAAAUAUAUUAAUUAUUUUUAAUAUAAUAUCUAAAAAUAUUCUGAAUUAUCAAAUACUUGGAAAAAUAUCUAAAAUUUGAAGAAGAAAAACUGACAUUGAAGUAAACUACAGUUAGAUAUGUAUGACCCCGAAUUAUUGGGCCCAAAUUAUUCUAUGGGUCAAUCUGGGCCCAAGUUGUUUAAAAUUAACAUAUUAGCGUAAUGCGUAAUGGAUCUCACUUAAGAAGGAUCUAGAAAUUCUGUAUUAUGUGGGUAUAUAUCUAAUUAUAUAAAAGAAUGUUUGAGUCUCUCCCGUCAUGUCCACGUGUAAAUUCUUUUGAUAUAGACUUGACGCGUGUCUCGCUUCUCCACAAACCGAGCUUUCUUCACUCCUUUUCGCUCUAUUGUUUUGGGCUUCAGUUGCCAGGCCCGUAAGUGAAGAUGAACCCUAGAUCGCGUUUCGCGUUUACACCAUCGCCUCCGUCCUGACUUUGCGAUUCCGGUAACGGUUCAGCCGAUACUUAACUCCCAUUUAUUGUUACCUCCACGAUGUGCCUUCAAUGCGGUCGUCGCGUCGCAUAGGCGGUGAGUUUUUUUGUAUAUAUAGACAUCAGAUCUCUCAUCUUCGAUUCAUCAAAUCUUUGUUGCUUAGUACUCAUAUAGAUUCCGCUUCAGUUUUGUCAUGUCUACUCCCAGGGUUUUCUUCUCAGACCUCAAGUCCGGCAAGUGCUCAUCCGCUGUUGAGGCUCGGCUUCUGCGAUUCUGGGAGGCGAAGAAUGUCAAACGCGGUGGGGAGCUGAUGUGGGUCGACAUGCUCUUGAUUGAUGUCAAUGUGAGUUAUUUUCAUACAUGAUUAAUCCGAUUAAACUCUUCGUGUUUGGUUUUUUUUUCCUAAAGUUUAAUCAAUUUUUUUUUUCAUGUAUCAGGCGACAAUGAUGCAAGCCACCAUCUAUGCUAACCGCCUUUCAAGAUUUCGUUCCAAACUCGCCGCCGGAACGAUGUACACCAUCUCUGGAUUCGACUCCCCUCUGAUGAUCCGGUUUAAUGAUUCCACCGCCUUUGAUGAGCUAACCGAGCCGGUUAGUCCAUUACCUGAAGAAGGAUUCCGGUUCCGUAAUCAGUCUGAAUAGCAAGGGUUCAUCGUGUUCGUCGACCUUUGGGUAAUCUCAAACAAUGGAGUUUCGAAGAGAGUUAUCAGAGACGGAUCGAUCGAUCUGUAUUCGUGUCGUUUCGUCUUGCUUCUGGAUGAAUUGAUUUGAUGCCAUUAAUGAUAUUCUUAACUCCAUCAAGCCACUGCAACCACGUUUUGUCAUUCAAUACACCUUCUAUCUCUUCAAAGGCGGUGCAUCUCAAGCUAUAAAAAGCUGAGCUUUCAUCCCAUAAACAUUAUCCUCACAAAUCAAAAUAAUCCUUGAAAGUUAUUUGAUUUUUUAACUCAAUAUUGAUGUUUGUUGUUUGCUUUUUAUACUUUUAUUAUAUGCUUGAAUCAGCAACGCAGGGCCGUGCUAGGCAGGAACUAGAAGACUCUUGCUUUUCGGAUUCCCUUCAUUAACAUAAUCAACAAACUCAACUCUAAACACAGGUUUGUUAAAUCUAUCGUUGUACUUUUGUAAUUGAAGACUCAAAGUUUUACACUUUCUAUGGUUCUUAUUUGGAUUCGAUGUGUGAAAGGCUUGGUAAGAACCAUUUUUGUUUGGUUUUGGCUCCGACAAGAGAGCUUGCUGGUCCGGUAGCAAAUAAAUUCAGAGAAGCCCCAUCUCUCGGUGAGGCACGAAACAGAACAGCAAAAUGAGAACUCUCAGAUGCAGAAUUUCGCUGGUGUUGGUGGUGCUCCUGUUGGUGAUAGUUUAGGACCUUCACGUCUCUCUCCGGCUGACUUCUACGUCUUGAAAGUUUGACAGGGCAUGUGAAUCAUAAUGUAAGCUUUUGAAUUUUUUUUUACAAGUUAUAUACUUUUGGCAGGUAAUGCUUUAGAUAGUAGAUGAUAGUUUUGAAUGUUUUUUUACAAAUUAUUGACUUUUGGACAUGUUAUGCUUUAAGAUAAUGGAUGAUAGUUGGAGAGCAAAAUUUGACAGAGAGUGAGAUAAGAUGGCUUUAGGCUAUGCUUUAAGGCUUAUGGUAUCUAGAGAGAUUGUAUUCCUGAUGGUGAUGAAACUGCUAACAACAUUAUGAGUGUCUCAUGUCCAAACGAGAAAAAUGUUUCCUGUGUCUGGAUUUUUUUUUCUGUUUUUUUUUUGUACCUAAGAUGUUAUGUCUAUCAAUUGUAUUUUGGAAAUCCACAUUUGUUCUGUUUCUAAAAACGUUUAUAUAUGUGUGUACACACAUGUAAUCUAAACUUCUAAGCUCUUCAUAUUAUGUGCAAUGUUAUGACUCAGGAGGAUGAUAAAGCUGAGGCUCCGGAGGAUGAGAUGGUUGUGAAAGAGCCUGAGGUAGAAAAUAAACAGAACUGGAACCGGUGUUUGAAAAACAGAAGGAGAGGAGGCAGAAAGCUUUGAAUGAGAAAGAGAUGGAUAAUGUUGCAUACAAUGACUUCGAAACUUCUAUCAAGCAUUACUCCAAAAAGGCAUUAGGGAGAAACAGAAACAUGAAGAGGUGAAUCGUUUAAAGAGGGAGACUGCUGAAACAGAGGAAUCACAUAGACGAAUAAGAAGAAGAGAGUAAGAGACCCAUGACAGAGCGUCAAGCUGCAGAGAGAGAGAGAAGCUACUAGACUGAGAAUAAGGCAAGAAAAGGCACUUCAUCUUGACGGAUCUGAGAAAGGACCUGAUGCUAAACAUGUAAGUUAUCUUUUCUUUAACACCCAUUACUUAUACUUCGUUCAUGAAAGGCCAAACUAUUACUUUCUAUGCAAAGCACAUCAGUCUAAUUUUUAUGCUGUUGGGAUUCAGAACUUUGUGAUAGUAUAAAAUUUUAAUUUUUAUCAAGCCUUAUAAAUCUCUUUAUAAAUGCAGGAGUCAACAGAAGUUUUUUUUUAUUCUUUAUCGAUGCUUGAAGCGGUAACUCAUCUCUCUCUCUCUAAAUACAUGUAUGUAUAUAUUUCUCAGUACAAUGUCUUACAAAUACGCUUAUCUGUUUUGUUGAAACAUUUGAUUUGUUCUGGACCUUGCGGGGAAUGGUAACAUCAAAUAUGUGUUAUUUACAAUCUACAUAAAUACAUUGACAAAACUGCAAACUUCCUUUGAUUGUGUCUCUUGCUGUUUGUUCUAGGAGGCACAUAUUAUGAACAUAAGAUGUCACUUCUGGCUACUACAAAGUAUCAAGGUAAAAAUUAGAUUCAAAAUUUCUCUUAUGCAAUUCCUGAUAACUUUAAAACUCAUCAUAGUGUUUUCACCUUUUUCUUCUGGUGAUAGGAUCAUUUGAAGAAGAUAGCAUGGUGAUGGAUUCAAAUAUGUAGGUAACAAAAACCACAACUCUUUCUCCCCACUUUCCAACUAUUUGGAUAUUUUAAAAUCAUUUAUUCGUUUAUUGCUUUUAGAUCUUUUACAUUCAUGAUUUGCAUCAAACAAUGUUCACUGUACUCUUCUUCAAUUAGUGAAGGGAAGAGCCAGAGGAUGAGACAUGGGUCAUUCCGGAGAUAAACGUCGUGCCGUGGUGGAAUGUUAACGUAUAGAUCUGAAGGAGAGGCCAAACAAAUCUUUUCUUUAGUCGAUAGAAACACAGUUUUUGUUUUUGUCGAGAGUAACUAUAUAAAAAUUAAUAAUAUUUUAUAAAAACCGAACGAGAGGCACAAUAUAAAACAACGUGAUAAAGAAUAUAUAAGCAUAAUAAAACUAUAAUAUAAAAUAAACUAAACAUAUCACAAAUUUACACAACAAAAAUAAUUUAUAGUAUUCUUAUAUCAAACAAUUUUAAUCAAAAAAUGACAAAAAUAAAAAAAAGAGCAGUCACGAAAAAUAAUGAUUCAUGCAUAAUAUAUAACAAACUAUUCAAAUAAAAAUCAAAUAUUAGUUAGUAUGUUUAGUUUUCUCAAACAUUCCUCUAAUCAUACUAACAUUGUAACAAUCUAUUACUUUUUGAAAGUGGGGUGCUGCAUUUUGUGUCCGUAAAGGACCAGAAGAAGAACGUUUGGCUACAUAGGUAUGUCUCUGCAUUUAAAUAGAUUUGUGUAUCAUGUUAUUGGCUUAAUGCUUUCGUGUUGAUCAUUCUGUUUAUGUGCAAUACUUGGACCACAGAGAGUGAGCAUGAUCGAGUAUGAACUCAAGAACAUGUGUAGACUUUAACAUGGUGAGUCAGCAUCCCCGAUUCUGAUGAACUCAUGUAACUGAUCUUACAGAGGGAGAUGAUCCCCUGAAUUGGCUGUUACCAUCAACUAUUGUUUGUUUUAUAAAACAAACAAAUCUUCUUUUUUUUUCCACUGUACUUUUCUAUAUAUAAAACAAAUCUAAAAUAACCAACAACUGGAUGCAAACCUCUUUGAAUGUGAAUGUGUAAAGUCAAAAAGUAGGCUGAAUCAGUCCAAUUAAUUGUUUAUGACACAAAGACAAAAUUAAGAAAAACAAUAUUUUAAACUUACGACAAAUACUCAGUAACAUAUUAUUUAACCGUACAACAGCAUGCUACAUACAAAGACACAGCACUCGGCGGUGAGCAACGCAGCACUCGGCAGAGAGAAAGAAGAAAUCGGCGGAGAAUAACGGAGAAAGUAGUGAAAGAGCAACAGAGCAAUGGCGGAUAGCAAUGAACAAGAGGCAUUGAGAUGGAUCAAGUGACGGAAAGAGUGAGAUGGACAGACAUGAAACAAGCGACAGAUAGUGUGACAAGAGAAAGGAAAUGAAAUUGCUGCAGUUCAAUAUGGCACAAGGGAGGUUCAUAGGCUCUCAGACAUGGUAAAUUAAUCACUCUGUUAGAAAACAUAUAACAAAGGUACAUGCCCAAUUGUGCUUAUUUCUUUCAAAGUAGAACCUCAUGAAAGAAAGUUGACACCUAUUGAAGAUAUCAAAGCUCUAAACAUGAAAACAUAAGUAAUUUCAAAUUCUAACAACAUUAAAAUCUGGAAUCUUCUUUGUAUUUGUUCAAAGUUUGUUAUACGAAUCCUUCUUUGCAUGUCUCUCCACAUGUUCAGUGCAUAUAUCAUAAGUUAGAUUGUAUGUUAUGUGUGGUCAUGUUAAUUUUGUACUUAUUGACUAUAAAAUGCAUUUUAUUCAUGAAUGGUUAACGGUAACAACUGUAUUUGGGACAUGAAAAAAAAUACAAUAGUGUUGUACUUAAUAGAAAACGACAAUAAUUUCACAAAUAAUCCAUUUAUAAUUAAGCAUGAAAAAAAACACUCAUUAAUUCAAAUAAUAACUCAGAAUAUAUAUAAAAGCUAACAUCUAACCAUUCAAUUAUUAUCCAAAAUUCUUAAACAAAAGAACUUUAACCAUUCAUAAUAUAAAUUGUAUAACAAAAUUAACAAACACCAUAUAAUAUCAUACACAAAUUCAUCAACAAAUAAUAAUCACAAUAUAACAAAAUUUGUUAUACUUUGGUGAUAACUUUUUUGAAUCAACAACAAAUUUUGAGAUACAAUUAUGAUUAUCAUUUUUCAAAAUUGAUUAUAUAUAUAUAUAUACAUAUAUUAUAAAUGGGGGCAUUUACAUCAAAACAGACUUUUGUCGAAAUGGAAUAAAAAUUUGAAAAGAAAAAAUUUCAAACACUUAUGAAAAUAAGAUAAAUAAUAUUUUGAUAAUGGGUUCAAUUAGUUGGAUUGUAAAUGCAUAACUUUUAUUGUAAGAACUCAGUUUGUCAUUUUUAGUGCCAUAGUUGUAAGUUUUUUUAUCUACAAAAUAUUACAAUUUUUAAACAGUUGAUUAAAAAAAAGCAUAAAGAUAUAUAAGGUGGUAAAUUAAAAGGUAGAGUCCAUUAAAUAAAUCAUAUACUAAUUAGAAACAAACGUUAUAAAUAGUUUUAUGUGUACUGAAACAUGUAAGCAAAUCAACCAAUUAAGCACCAUAAAUAAAAAAAAAAAUUUAAAAAAACAAAAAAAUAUUUAAAUUUUGUUCAUUCUGCUUUUUACCUUAUAUAUAAUUUUUAAUGACAAAAAAUAGAUACACAAAUUUCGAAUCGCGUAAGACAAAAACAUUGAAUAUUUUAAAUUAUUUUACAUUUAUCUAUAGUUUUAUAUAUUUUUAUAAUAGAUUAUCAAAUUUAUAUAUUAAAAUAAUCAUACUAAAUAUAUAAUUAAAAUUAAAUUUAAUAAAAAAACCCGGGCGUAGCCCGGGCCGACCCUAGUAUAUAUAUAUAUACACACAACUACUUCCUUCAUAACUUAUAUCUUCGACUACUUGGCUGCUGCUCUCUCUCUCUCCUUGAUAAACCCUAGAUCUCCCCGAUAAGCAGCAACAAUGGCAGACGCAGAGACCUUCGCUUUCCAGGCUGAGAUCAACCAGUUGCUCUCGCUCAUCAUCAACACCUUCUACAGCAACAAGGAGAUCUUCCUUCGUGAGCUCAUCAGUAACUCUUCCGAUGUACGUCUCUUUUGCUUUCUCCUGGAUCGAUCUGUCGAUUAGGUUUGAUUAGUGUUGCUGUUGUAUCCGAUUUGAAUAUUGAAGUAGGGAGCUCUAUGAUAUUCAAAUCUGUCUUCCUAGAUUUAGUUUUGCUACCAUGGUUAAGCAUUAGGUGUUAAGCUUCGAUGAAUUUGAUUUUCGUCUUUUAUGAGAUAAUCGCAUCUUCAAUCUAUGUGCAUUCGGUUUGUUUGUAUACUUAUGGUUGGAUCUUACUCUGGUGACUUAGUUUUUGAAUGAAAUAAGUAACUCGGAGGUAUAGUUUUGGAUUGAUUCUACGAGAUAGUUUGAGUUUCUUUCUAUGCGUUUGUAUACGUUCUUGCGUUUGUUACUUAAUGGUUUUGAUCUGAUUCUUGUGAAACAGGCGUUGGACAAGAUUAGGUUCGAGUCCUUGACUGAUAAGAGCAAACUCGAUGGCCAGCCAGAGCUUUUCAUUCACAUCAUUCCUGACAAGACUAAUAACACCUUGACCAUUAUCGAUAGUGGUAUCGGUAUGACCAAGGCUGAUUUGGUCAACAACCUUGGAACCAUUGCGAGGUCUGGUACCAAGGAGUUCAUGGAGGCGUUGGCUGCUGGUGCUGAUGUUAGCAUGAUUGGGCAGUUUGGUGUUGGUUUCUACUCUGCUUACUUGGUCGCUGACAAGGUUAUUGUGACUACUAAACACAAUGACGAUGAGCAGUACGUGUGGGAGUCUCAGGCUGGUGGGUCUUUCACCGUGACCAGAGACACCUCUGGAGAGAGUCUUGGUAGGGGUACUAAGAUGGUCCUUCACCUCAAGGAAGACCAGUUGGAGUACCUUGAGGAGAGGAGGCUUAAGGAUUUGGUCAAGAAGCACUCUGAGUUCAUCAGCUACCCAAUCUCCCUGUGGAUCGAGAAGACUAUUGAGAAGGAGAUUUCUGAUGACGAGGACGAGGAAGAGAAGAAGGACGAGGAAGGAAAGGUUGAGGAGGUCGACGAGGAGAAAGAAAAGGAGGAGAAGAAAAAGAAGAAGAUUAAGGAGGUUUCUCACGAGUGGGACUUGGUGAACAAGCAGAAGCCUAUUUGGAUGAGGAAGCCCGAGGAGAUCAACAAGGAGGAGUACGCUGCCUUCUACAAG